CUUGGUGGGAGCAACGUGCACACGGCGAUCGGAGAAAAGCGAUCGGUAUUACGUAGCUCAGCCCGAGGCCUGCACGUGCCCCGGACACUGCUGUACUCUACCACACUCCACAAUGCUCCUGGACACUCCUGCACUCUACCACACUCCUGGCUGCUUCCCAGGGUGCAGAAUCGCUGGCAGCAGAGAAUACAGAUCAGCUGGAGUCCAGACGACCCCUCUGAUUACAGCUACAGCGCCGUGACUCUCUUCGCCCUUCGUCUUCCUCGCUGUGGCCCUGGGGGAAGAGUUGAGCGUGAGGUUGGAGCUGCUCUCGAUGCACUUAGUUCCCUCCCACCUGUUUCUGCACGUAGCACUGAAGGCUUCCAUACUACCAGCCGAGAAGAAGCCGCAUACAUUUUCGCUCUGCCUGUAUCCAUCUCUGAAGUUCUUCGGGUGCCCACCUCUCCUCGCUCGCCGAUUGCCACUUGUCAGAUAAUCCACAUAUGAUGUGGGGGCCAAUUGACCGUGAAGGUGACUAACCAAAAAGCUCUUGCUACAAGCCUUGCCAUACUCACCUGUCAAAACCCAGAUAGCUCAGCCCAGGGAAAGGGCCCGGGGCUGACGAGGCAAGGCGGUGGAACCGAACUCCCCGGAAAACGCACCACCUCGCCAUUCAAACGCCGCUGAUCGGCGUCAUCGAGGCAGCUCCGGAGAAAGGUCCAGGACGCCGUCGUUAUGAUUCAGCACACGGGAGUGGCGGAUGGGGGGAAAAAAGAGAGAGAGAGAGACGGAGAUAUCGCAGCGCUCGAGGAGAGCACGCCGAGACGAGCAUCUCUGCAGAACUCUCCGGGUUCUUGUGAGAUCUCGCCGAGAUUGCUUCUUACAAGCGUGUGCGGGCUUACUUAACCAAACGCACAGUGUAGGGGGCAGCCAACCACGCGCCUGCCUGCCUGUCUGUCCCGCCCUCCUUUGCCCCUACGCAAAUCGCUCUGCUGUCGGUUAGGAUAAAUCGGGCCGGCCAUGAGCGGGGAGCGUAGAUUAUGGUAGAUUUGUGUCGCCCAGUGUUGCUGCGUCUAGUAUUCACGGCCCGGCUGCUAUAAGAAGAGCUUUAGCUGCCAUUGAUCUGGCUGUGUCGGGAUGGAAGUGCUUCUCCGUCAGGUAGGUCAGCAAGCACCAGGCGGCCGAGCGCUGCUUUGCCUCGGGACUCGGCGCUUGGACCUCCCAGCGCGGCGACCGGGGUGAGAGAUGUCACCUUUGUGUUGAGUCAGAGACCCAUGGCACACUUGCGUAAAUGGUUCUAUUCACAUGCUUAUAUGGGACUAUGACCGGUUGGCAGAACCACACUGGAUAGGAGGGAGAGAAGGGGUGUGCUACCGAGAGCUGCUUUAUUUGAUCGAAUUGGGACAGGCGGCGAUUGGAGGAAGCGACAAGUCAGAGGUGGCCAGCCGAGGCCAACGAGGCAGAGAACCGGUGGACGGAGCCUUAGCAAUUCAGUUCUACGCAGUCUGGCGUCGUUUAAAUCCUUGCUCUACUCUGGACUCUUUGCGAGGGAAUAAAGCAGCAGUGUCAUGGAAAGCUUAUGGCAGGGAAUCUUAUCUCCCACCGAGCCCACGGAGCCUCCGAACGCCAGCAGCGAAGGUUCACUGGGAUCCUACGGGUAGCUCACGCAGGCCAGAUUUGCACUUCUGAAGUCUCGGAGGAUCUCGGACGGUUCAUCCUCUUUAGGAAGAGCCCCUAUGAUUCCUCAUUCUGUGAUGGCAGGAUGAUCCCGACUCUAAUCGAGGCCGGCCCAGCGUCUUGCUGUCCCGCUAAUCCUCUUCCCUGCCUUUUCUACUCUCCGUUUCCCUGCUACCCCAGGCUCCCUCGGCCAGCGCUUAAAGUAGGCGACGGUGCGGACCCCGCCGCAGAGAUGGAUCCCUACCCGGAUUUAGCCGACUUUGCAGGGAGGGAUUAACACGGCAGUUAAAGUUGGAGUCUCACCCGACCCGCCUGGGCCUCGGCCGACCGCAGGGGUCGACGGGUUACGUCCGUGGACCCUCGUCCACGGCGCUCCGUGUAGUCAGCGUCCGAUCCCUUCCACCAUCGCGUCGCUCUCACUCCCCGCUCAUCAGACCCUGUCUAAUGGGAAUGACGAAACAGGAGAGAAACAUUAGGAGCUCAUCUCUGACGUAACUAUAAAAUAAAUGAUGUGUUUGUAUUUGUGUCCUGCGUGACAGAUCUCAUUACGUUAUCCAGUGUCCCUGCUGAGACACACUGGAUUCUCACUAAUUAUGAAGCCUUUUUCUGAGUUGAAGUGCGUAGGACGGAAAACCUCACAGUAUAUUACAAAUGUAUGUGCAGCGUGUAUUAUAAAUAUAAACCUUUUAUGUAAACGAUUAAGUGACCUAAUCAAGCUGACAGUCACACGGCUCUUUACCCAGAGUGCCCGAGUUCAGACACUAAAACGCUGUGGCUUCAGAGGCCGUACAUGUCAGACGUUAGCCAGCAGGGCACUUCACGGAACAAAUACCACAGUUGCACUUUUCAAUAGCUGAACCUGUCAGCAGAGUACUUUUUAAAAAAGGAGAAUUAUGACAAGUAUAGAUGUAUAUCAGAUGAACUGUGGGAAUUAGACUGGAACUAAAAUGCCUUGUGUCAGGUACAAAACUGCUCUGUCAGUCAGUUCUAAAUUAAAACACUAUAGGUGAGCUUUCAGUAACAAUAGAGGAAGUGUAAUUACUCCUCACACAGAGAUUGAUGGACCGGCGGUCUUAACGAAUUUUAAUAACAAAACCUCUGCCAGCCGUCUUUGGCGAGGCAUUCUGUUUUUCCCUUGGAAUUCAUUCUUCAGCACAUCAUAGCGUGUUUCUGAUGUUGUUCAUUUACAUUCACAAGGUUUGACUCUUCAAACUGUUCACGUCAGCUGUAAUUUUAGUUAUCUUAAGCGAUGAAGAAAUGUUUUAUUUUCUCACCACCAAAAAUGCGCAAUCUAAUGGAUUUGAUUCCCAUCCCGGUGGAUUCGUGCAGGCAUGCUUUUAGAAUUCAGUUGUUGAUUCACUUCUGUUAAAGUGCCAUGCUUGAUCUUCAAGGCUGUGUGACUGUGUAUCUUGGCUGGGAGCGGCACUGCCUUUUAGGGGAGGCAUUAUCUGAAGAGAAGUGACCUCAAAGACUCACAACUUUACCAGCGGAGGGAUGCGACGCAUUUAAUGUGGUGUUGCACGCGCUUCCGUAACCGUAUAGCGUUUAACGUAGAGUACAGAAACAAAUUUGAACACUUCGUCGAAUUCAGUGCCAUCAAAUAACCACAGUCCUCGUUCGGAGUAGGUGUGUGCUGUGUGUGAGAGGGUUCUGGUGCACCAAUGCUGUAAGGAUUGCGUGCAGGAUCCCUGGUCAGGGCACGAGGCGUCUCCCCCAGCGUGGACCCAUUAAUCGCACUCAUCCCAGGCGUCUGCACAGGAGCGUUACGAGGCCCCAGGGGCAGACUCGGAGAGCCUUGUUAGCCCAGUGCUCAGACUGCUUCUCCACUCUCCCCGAGACAAAUAAACUUGGUUAUGGAUCUGCUCCAGGUCCAAGCCAGACAGAGCGGGCGAGGUGGAGACAUGCGUGAGUGGGGAACGGCACCCUGUCUCUACAUGAGACCAGUAGGAGACAGGGACAGGGAGUCCCGGUCCAUCUGCUGUGUAUAUGUUCAGCAUUAAUUGCUCUUCUAAAACAUCAGAACGAGCCCUGGUGUGAUUUUGGAGAUAUCAGAGUGUUAAAGCAAGGUCAUCCUUCUCUCUGUUCAAAACCCUCUUUUCAGUAUUCAGGCAAAGUUUAGUUUUAAGUCAAUGCAUCACAACAGGGUCUUUGUAGUGAUUUGCUGUAAUUUUAGGCAAGGUUUGUUACAUGAGACACAAAGCAAAUCUCCACUGUUAAUUUCAUUAUUUUAUUGUUAUUUAUUUAUUUGUGUGUGUGUGUAAGGUUGUUGGUUACAGUGCAUGAUGAAACUAUCCCUUUUCUCAAUUAAUGUCUUUGAGAUGCUCAGGGUUUGCUAGUUUUACACUGAAGACGUAUUCCUCUGCCAUAACAUUUGACGCACGGCUCUGUCAAACCGUCAGGACUAAAGCGGCUUGUCUGCUCAGCUGCGGAUGGAGGCGGAACGCUCCGGAACUGCUCCGUUUCCGCUGUCCUUCGGUUUCCUUGCCCCUUCUGCCUGCCGGUUUUGAAAAUGAAAAAAUUGAAAUGACUGAGAUGAUGGAUCGAUGCGUUGAGAUGUUUGUCACAUUAAAUUGAAUCCUUCUGAUGGCUGGGAGAUUUGCUCUCUGUCAGACGCAGCCACACACUCAGUCUAUUGUAAACUUUCUUUUCACAGUGCUUGCUAUGUCUUAUUUUG